CAAUAUGUAUGCUAAACCCACAAAUAUUAUCAAAUAACUUUAUAAAUAUAUAAACUAUAUUAUGCUAGAACUAGUAAUAAGAAUAAAAACUUYUCCAAAAUACAAGUGUAAUGCAGAAUAAACCAUAACUGCUAAUUACUUGUUUAUGAAUUUAAAGUAGUAACCCCACUAGAAAAUUCUACUUUCCUAAACAUUAACCUAACACAAGAGUAUUACCAGAAAGAUUAAAAGAAAGGGAAGGAACUCGGCAAAUAAUUUAGCCUCGCCUGUUUACCAAAAACAUCGCCUCUUGCUAAAAUAUAAGAGGUCCCGCCUGCCCACUGACUAAAAGUUUAACGGCCGCGGUAUCUUAACCGUGCAAAGGUAGCACAAUAAAUUGUUCUCUAAAUAAGGACUAGUAUGAAUGGCAUCACGAGGGCUUAACUGUCUCCCCCCUCUAAUCAAUGAAACUGAUCUUCUCGUGAAGAAGCGAGAAUAAACAUAUAAGACGAGAAGACCCCAUGGAGCUUAAAACUCAUCACCACUUACUUAAACUAAACCACUAUAAAUAGUAAAAAUGUUCUUGAUAGUUUUCGGCUGGGGUGACCCUGGAGUAAAACAAACCCUCCAGAAUGAAAGAAUUUAAAGUUCUAAUCUAAGAAUUACAAUUCUAAGAAUCAAAAAUUUGACAUAAUUGAUCCAAUUACUUGAUCAACGAACCAAGUUACCCUGGGGAUAACAGCGCAAUCCAUUUUAAGAGCCCCUAUCGACAAAUGGGUUUACGACCUCGAUGUUGGAUCGGGGUAUCCUGGGGGCAGCCGCA
rnacentral:rRNA from 1 species